rnacentral:rRNA from 1 species
CCUACGGGUGGCAGCAGUGGGGAAUAUUGCACAAUGGGGGAAACCCUGAUGCAGCAACGCCGCGUGGGUGAAGGAGCGUUUCGGCGCGUAAAGCCCUGUCAGCGGGGAAGAAGAAAGACGGUACCCGACCAAGAAGCCCCGGCUAACUACGUGCCAGCAGCCGCGGUAAUACGUAGGGGGCGAGCGUUAUCCGGAAUUACUGGGUGUAAAGGGAGCGUAGACGGCGAGGUAAGCCUGAAGUGGAAGCCCGCGGCCCAACCGCGGAACUGCUUUGGGAACUGUUUUGCUGGAGUAUGGGAGGGGUAAGCGGAAUUCCUGGUGUAGCGGUGAAAUGCAUAGAUAUCACACAGAACACCGAUUGCGAAGGCAUCUCACGAAUCCGCGAUUGACGCUGAUGCACGAAAGCGUGGGUAUCAAACAGGAUUAGAUACCCGGGUAGUC